rnacentral:rRNA from 1 species
AGUGAACGCUGGCGGUAGGCCUAACACAUGCAAGUCGAACGGCAGCACAGUAAGAGCUUGCUCUUACGGGUGGCGAGUGGCGGACGGGUGAGGAAUACAUCGGCAUCUACUUUUUCUUGGGGGAUAACGUAGGGAAACUUACGCUAAUACCUCAUACGACCUACGGGUGAAAUCAGGGGAUCUUCGGACCUUGCGCGAUUGAAUGAGCCGAUGUCGGAUUAGCUAGUUGGCAGGGUAAAGGCCCACCAAGCCGACGAUCCGUAGCUGGUCUGAGAGGAUGAUCAGCCACACUGGAACUGAGACACGGUCCAGACUCCUACGGGAGGCAGCAGUGGGGAAUAUUGGACAAUGGGCGCAAGCCUGAUGCAGCCAUACCGCGUGGGUGAAGAAGGUCUUCGGGUUGUAAAGCCCUUUUGUUGGGAAAGAAAAGCAGCAGGUUAAUACCCCGCUGUUCUGACGGUACCCAAAGAAUAAGCACCGGCUAACUUCGUG